GUCCUGGGCCGUGUACAAUGAAGGAAGUGAGCUCAACAGUGGCCUUUGUCUCUCUCUGCUUCCUGAUGAUGGAUGCAGCGUGACCAGCUGCCUCAAGUUCCCGCUGUAGUGACUCCGCUGCCACGAUGAACAGUCGGACCUGGAACUGUGAGACAAAUGAGCCGUUCCUUAAGUUGCUUUUGCCGAGUUCUGUCACAGCUCUGAGAAGAGUAACCAAUAUGGCGGUCUAUGCUGCGCUGCACCCCACAGGCUGCGCAUCCCCACUAGAUUUGGAGACGUCUCGUUUCUUGGAAGAACUAGGCUUCGCUGAGUUCACAUAUGCACUGUGAGGCUGGGCUGGCUGAGUCAGGGCAGAGGACAAGUCUCGGAGUCAGGUGAGAGUCCUCUGAGCCGUGGAAGGUGUGGCUCUGAGUGCUAGCAUUGUGUUGCAGCGUUAAGGGGUGAAAUGGCUGAGCCCCAGGGAAGGUGUUCCCCUUUGAGAUGAUAGGCAAGGAGGAAAGGGGCUUCUGCUCUGCCCAUUCCUCCCACCUGGAACCCCUCCCACCACUGAAUCAAGGAAGGAGAAAUGGAGAAGGGUAAUCUGGUGCUCUUCAAAGUUGGGGCGGAACUGGAAAGAAGGAGAUGGGGAAGAUCUCGCCAAGUAGUGUGAACGGGUUUGCGCACCUCUUUCCAGCCCAAAGGGAAAAUUUUGAUCUCAGGCAACUAAAUUUAUUUUCAGCACUGUUCAUGAGACAAGACCAACAAUACUAAUAAUAAUCAGGAUAGAAACUCAAUAAAAGUGCUCUUUUUAUUGAUGGUUACAUAUUAGCACACUGGUAAAGUGCAUAAAAGUAAGCAAGCUGUUAUAGAGCAGAAGGUUUUACUAUGAAGGGACUGAUAGCUUGGAAGCACAGUCACAGGACCCUGUCCUUAAGACGUUAACCUACUUAGCGUUCUGUGACAAUCACAAAUGAGGAUGUUGUAAUUUCUGACUUUUCGUCUUCCUUUCUUCAUUUCAAAGUAAGCAACAUUUAAAAAUGAAUCAUUACAUAUUGUUUUGUGCUUAAGGUAUUAUUCCAGUUCAACGAGAGAGUUCCUGUGUGAUUUAAAAUUUGUGUCUCACAAACAAAAGAGAGUGAGUGCGUUGCCGUUUGUAUCCUGUUACACUGUUUUGAAAAUGCGUGCACAAAUAGAAAUGCUGUGUGUCCCCACAGUGACAGACUUGGAGCUGUUGAAAUGUAGUGACUUUGUUUUAAUGUCACAGAGCAGUCAUUGUUUAUUUAGAGGUAUUACUUUAAACACAGGCCUGUGUAACAUCACCAGAGGCAGAGACAGAAACUGCUCCUGAAUAGGCUUAUGCCACCCUGAACAAACGCAGAGCAGUCUGGGAGGGAUCGUGUAUAUUGUCCGACGAUGUCUGUUCCAGUCUGACUGAGGAAGACUCUUCACUGAGUGCUAAGAACUCAAAAAGGUGAAUGUGAACUGGGUGUGGCGGCUCACGCCUGUAUAUUUGUCGUAUUCAGGGGUGGAAGUGCCAAGAGUUCAAGGUCAUCUUUGGCUACAUGGCAAGUUCGAGGCCAACUUGGGCUAUGUAAGAAUUUGUCUGGGCUGGAGAGAUGGCUCGGUGGUUCAGAGCACUGACUGCUCUUCCAGAGGUUCUGAGUUCAAAUCCCAGCAACCACAUGGUGGCUCACAACCAUCUGUAAUGAGAUCUGAUGCCCUCUUCAGAAGACAGCUACAGUGUACUUAUAUAUAAUAAAUAAAUAAAUAAAUAAAUAAAUAAAUAAAUCUUAAAAAAACUUGUCUAAAAAAACCUAGGGAGAGGUGCAAAGUUGAAUGUAUUUGUUAUAUCUGUAUAUAUUAAAUAUAUGCAUAGCAAAACUCCACAUCAACCGUGGCAAUUAUUAGCCUUCAUUAGCAAAACUAUGUUUGGGGAAGAGGAUUUGUUAACCCCUAUUACUUACAGAAUUGAAACUACCUGGGUAUGGUCAAGAGCUUGGUCCUUCCUUUUUUCUUCCUAUGCUAAGACUACGCUAGCUCCUACUGGUACACAUUCUGAAUUUCUGCUGCUGGGUUCCUUUUCCCCACCUUACCCUGGGCACCAACUAGCUGAGGAGGGAGAGAUGGACUAGGCUUGAGAGAAAACAGGACGGCAUCUGCCUGGACUGGCGAGGAUGGAGGGCAGGGUGGCAAAGGUUAUCCCGUGUGAGAGAUCUCCUUCAGCAGUGUUUCUGAACGCAGACUGAGGAUAUGACUGCAGAGAGAGCCACUGUUGCGAGUCCUACCUGCUGAACCCCAGAAUGGGCCAGCACUCUCUCAUUAAUUUGUCUUCCCUUUCCUCUGGCUUUUUUUCCUUUUCAUCCCCCUCUGUCCCCUAACUCUACUGUGUUCCAUCUUCUCUAGCCUCAGGGCCAGUAAUAGCCCAAGUCAGCUAACUGGGUCUCACACCAGAUGGGGUUCAUGUGAGUCCUGGUAGCACAAAGAAGCUGUAGUCUCUGGAUCUAGGUAGAAGGGGACCAUGGGCAGAAAGACCAGAAACAAUGGUACCAUUGUAUUAUGGGACCCAGACUCUACUCUCUAACCUGGUCUUGGCAGAGGAAAGCCUCCUUUUGUGGAUGAUGCCCUCAUGGACUUUUUCAUCCAAGCAUUCUCUUAGAGUCAUGAUGGUAGCCUGGAUGGGGGAAGGUAAGGAAGUGGACAGUCCUUCUCCCUGCUCCCUUUCCUCCUUCUUCCUGGGCCAGGAAUCCCACCAAGAGAGCAGGAGAAUGACCUUUGGAUCCUCUGUCCUCAGACACCCUUGUCCCCACCUGUAGGAUGAUGUCAUAUAGGUGAAGGCAGGUCCAAGACAGAACGAGGCUUGUCAUUGAAUGAGAAGGAAAGAUGGGCGGGAGAGAAGCUUUAGAGAGAGGAGGAGACUGGAGCAAAGGAGAAGAAGCAGCCAAGAGAACAUGGAGGUGGAUGUUAAGAUUCCUCUCUGCACAUUUACAGGUUGUUAUGAAUGUUCUUAAGGGAUGGAUGUGUACAGGGCUUUGUAUGUCUAGGUGGGCAAUUAAAUCUUAUCAAUUGGAUCAGAGGUUAUUGUGUUGUGUGUUCUUUCAUGUGGUGAACUAAGUUCAAGAGAGUGUGUGGUGGUGGGAGACACUAGGCUGCCACGGAAUUGGGGUGUAUAUUUCUGGCAUGGUGGCAACCUGCCUUAGGAACUGGAUGGGUAGAGAGAUUGUUGCCAGGCUCAGAGAGAAGCCAUCAGCAGUGUGAUAUGUGAUAGAGCAAAGCAGGUGAGAGGCUUUACUGACUGAGAUGAAGAUGUCUACCAGCUAUCUUGGGGCACUAUGGUGCCGGACCUAGUGCGGAGUAAAAGGUAUUUUUUAUGAUUUUACAGCAACACCCACCUACUGAAUCCUACCUGGCUUGCCUGACCUGCCUUUGCAGUCACUGUCUCCUGGAUUUUUCCUUAAGCUUCUUUUAUGGAAAGAGAAUCAGACUCAGCCUCCAGGGGAGGAGGCAUCCUGGGUCCUAGAUACACUCAGGAAGUUGUCUUCUUUUAUGGAGAAGACAUUGAAAUGAGGAAAGGCUCUCUAACGGGCUGACCCCAGGGUCCAAAGGGUCUGGUUGCCUUCAGCUCCCCCCGACCCCUGAUCACUGAUGCUUUUCAGAUACCCAGAACUCUCUGCCAGAAGGCCUUUGCACAGAGUUUCCCCCCUGGAAUGUCUCCCCCAAAAUGUCCAAAUGGCUCACUCUCUCACCCCUUCAAGUAUUGUUCAGAUAGCUUUCGUAGGAAACUUAUUCCUGGCCACCUUAUUCAUCUAGAAGCUUCCUUCUUAAUUCUCCUUCCCUGCCUUCUUUUUGCACAGCGUUUAUCACUGAAUACAUACAGAAUUAGUUACACAUGUUUUCAUUGCCUGUCUUUCUCACUAGGGUGGACGCUGGCCCCCCUGUGGAGAGGGAAUUCUGUCUGUCUUAUUGAAGGCAGCAUUUUCACAUACCUAGAGAGAGGUCUGGUGGUUUGGAGGCACCAGAUGAGUAUGAGUGUUGGUUGAAUGAAUGUCCACAGGCCUGACCAGACUGGGAACUGCUAUAGUAUGGACCAGCAGUUGGCUGACUGAGCAGAGGGUUGGCCAUCUUUGAGCUGCUGCCCCUGACUCAUUGGUUCAGAAAGGUGUCCGAUAGCUGGCAGAAUCUUGCUUAUCCUGAAAGCCUCAGCCCGAACCUUCCUCUUCCCCUUUACUACUUUCGAAUCCCUCCCUGUUCCCCUUCAUACUCCACUAAGUACCCGCUGCUCUGAAUCUUUAUGAGCCAGCACAGAGGAGUCCUCAGCCUUUGAACAUCCACGAAGGUGGGACUUCCCCAACACAGAGUUUUCCUUCCAAUCUGGAAGAUCCGCAGCUCUGGAAGUGUUACUGUGUUAGCUACUUCUUGGUCACUUGAACCAAUUUUUUUUGGUAGCAACAACCCUAGAGGAGGAUUAGUCUUGGCUCAUGAUUUCAGAGGGCCCUGCCCCAUGGCCAUUUGAUGACAUGUACUUGGUUGAGGAGGACAUCAUAAUGGUGGAAGUUUAUGGUUCAUGUUCUUCCUUACUUCCUGGUGAACAGGAAGUUGAGAAAGGAAGGAUACAGGAAGAGGCCAGGGCAGACAUAGCCAGUAAGAACACACCUACUUAUUUUAAGUAGGUCUCAUGACCUACUUAUUUUAACUUGGCCCUCCCUUCUGCCUUUCACCACCUUCAACAAUGCCAUCAUCUUAGGCAUCCAUUCCAUGGGCCAGAGCCCCACGAUCCAAACACCUCUGGGAAAGUCCUCAUCCAGAAGUGUGCUAAUCUUCUAGAUGGCUCUUCAGCUGGACUAGUUAAUAAUUAAAAUCGACCCUUCUUAAGUAUAUCCUACAAAGUUUCCCCCUCUCCUGUGCCUUUUUCUUUUGUUACUCUUGGAAUGCGACAAGGAAAAAGCAAAUGCUCUUGUCACACAAACUCCCUUAGAACAUCUUUGUGACCUGGAAGAAAUUCCUAGUCUGCCACCAAUGGCCAGCUUUCUAGAGUAUUGAUAAAUCAAAGACAAUUUGGGUGGAAGUGAGAAGCAGACACUGCUGUGUGUCCCGCCAAUUAGCGGUGCGCCCAGGGCCUUGUCAAGUGAGCAACUUCAGUGUAAUGAUCCCGGACCAGUGAACCCCCUUACAUGCAUUACCUUGGAGACCAUUUUCUUUGAUCCGCACAAAGCAAAUGCAUCAAGUGCCAAUUUGACUGUGUGCAAAGCUAAGUCCUGAGGGUUCAGCCUAUUCAAGACUGUAUUCGGGCCCCACCCAUUUUGUACCUGCUGGCUAAAGGGAUGGGCUUUCUCACUUGGAGUUGCAACCCUGGUAGGGUAUGGCAGAAAACUGCCAUCCUAGUGGGGGAUAGAGAAUUAUUUAUUAAUGUUAUUUUCAAGUGUGUGUACGCAUGUGUGUGUGUGAGUGAAGGUACUCAAUCAGAGAUGUUGGAUGUCCCUGGAGCUGAGUUAAAGGUGGUUGUGAUCUAUCUGAUGUGAGUUCUGGCAAUCGACCUCUGCCAAAGCAGUGUGUGCUCUCACCCAAUGACCUGUCUUUCCAGGCCUGGGGGCCAGCCCACUCAGGAAAGCUCAGCCACAGGAUUUAAUGUAAGAGACUCAGGGAUUCUAGGUGAGGCAUGAACAGACAGGAUUUGAGAGACCCAGAGAAUCACAAGGUACUUCUCAGUACUUCUGACACCAUGGAGUUCACGGACCCUUCCACUUUGAUUCUCUAUACAGACAAGGGUCCAGCAGGGCCCAGAUGACCUGCUAGGAAGUAGUACAAGGAGUCUUUGGAAGGAACUUGGGAGACAGAUCAAGAAUCAUGGAAACCAACAAGAGAUGCUGGAGACUCAUAGGGCUGCUAGUAGAACACACAUACCUUCUGUGUAGCUGGAAAGGAGGAGACGGAGUAACAUUUCUGCACCUGACCAAGGAUGGGGAAUGAGAGAGGUUAUGGCAUGGGUAGAGGAUGUCAGCCAUGGCAAUAGAGCCUGGAAGAGAGGGAGCUUAAGGGAUUGGUUCCCUUCUCUCUGCUGAGUCUCUCAUCAGGCCAUUUCAAUAGGUGCCACCUUUAGGUAGCAAAUACAAUGAGAAUCCAGGUGGGGGUGGGCAGCCAGUGACCUGUGACGAGGUCACAGAUAUGGAACAGCCUCCAGGGCAUGGAACAUGAGAAGGAGAAGCAGAAAUGGCACGGUGACCUUCUGUGGUUUCUCAUUUCACUUUCAAGGGCCCUAGAGAGAGGAUCUAGUUGGAGUGGCUCUCGUGAAGGAAGCUCCUAGGAUGAGUACCACUUGCAUCUCCAGGAAGAAAACAACAAAUGAUGUAUGACCAAGGAGACACAGGACCAAGACACCCGUGCUAUUGUGUCACAGAUGAGCAAGAGCUAUGAGCUCAGAAACCAUCAGAGAAUUUUGAAAAGCAUGAAGACUUGCAUGUGAACACAUGGGCAUCCUUCCAAGUGUGUUCCCGUCCAGCAGGACAGCAUUCCUGACAUUGUGCUGGACCCACUGUGGAUGCUGCACCUGAGUCCAUGAAGCACCUGAAAUUAGAAACCUGUCUUCUUCCCAGCGAAGGCCAAAGAUCGCCCAAGGAACCUCCCAGGAGAACCAUGCUCAUAUAUGGAGGCACUUCCAGACCUUCAAAGGAAGUUUCCUUAUGGGAGGAAGUUCUCCCAUGUCUAAACCUUGGUGAUGGCUGGACCCUUCUGAGAGGGCCAUCUAAGUCCUGCUUGUACCCCUGAUAGCAGAGAAUCAAAUAAAAAUGACUUAUCAACAA